CCCCUCCCAACUGCUUCUCUUGGUGAGCCCUCAAAAACAGAAGGUUGUGAAGAGACACAGAAAUCUGCAGAAGAGACCAGCGAGGAGCAAGAGGAGAAACAACACAGCCCAGACGACGGCGACCAAUCAGAAGACCUGGAGGAAGGAAAACAGGAAGGCUCCAGUGAUAACAAGACAGAUGUGGAGGAGGAACAGCCCCGGUCGGAGCAGGAGACCACUCCCAAGAAGCCCGCUCGGAGGGGCCGGCCUCCCAAAGCAGCAGCCGCUGCCGCUGCCGCGCCGCCGCCGCCGCCGCCGCCGCCGCCGCCGCCGCCGUAGCCGCCAACGCAGACUCAGCCGACAAAAUGGAAGAGAAGGCAGACGAGAGCGGGCUGAACACGGAGGAAGAUGAGGAUGAGGAGGAAGGGGAUCACAAGAGCCGAACUACGCGCUCAGCUUCUCGCAUGGAGGCCGAGAACGGAACGCGGGGCCAGGCCGCCGGAGCCAAGGGGGCUCGAAAACGCGAGGCCAGCCCCCCUGCGGUGCGCACCCGCGGGGCAGCACCCAAGCCAGAGGAGACCCCCUCCAAGAGAUCCAAGCGCUGAG
ensembl:lncRNA